UUACCAUGGAUAUUUUGUGUAUGAUUUAGUA
rnacentral:piRNA from 1 species